rnacentral:tRNA from 1 species
GCCCGGAUGGCGGAAUAGGUAGACGCGCAUGGUUCAGGGCCAUGUCUCUGUAAGGAGGUGCAGGUUCGAUUCCUGUUCCGGGCA